AGCAGCCGCGGUAAUUCCAGCUCCAAUAGCGUAUAUUAAAGUUGCUGCAGUUAAAAAGCUCGUAGUUGAAUUUCGGGAUCAUCAUGUCGGUCGUGCUUCGGUACGUACUGGCAUGUUGGUUUCUCCCUUCUGACGAAUCAUGAUGUCAUUUAUUUGGUGUUGUGGGGAAUCAGGACUGUUACUUUGAAAAAAUUAGAGUGUUUAAAGCAGGCUCACGCUUGAAUACAUUAGCAUGGAAUAAUGAAAUAGGACGUUUGAUUCUAUUUUGUUGGUUUCUAGGAUCGACGUAAUGAUUAAUAGGGAUAGUUGGGGGCAUUAGUAUUCAAUUGUCAGAGGUGAAAUUCUUGGAUUUAUUGAAGACUAACUACUGCGAAAGCAUUUGCCAAGGAUGUUUUCAUUAAUCAAGAACGAAAGUUAGGGGAUCGAAGACGAUCAGAUACCGUCGUAGUCUUAACCAUAAACUAUGCCGACUAGGGAUCGGAUGAUGUUAAUUUUUAAUGA
rnacentral:rRNA from 1 species